UACGUGAGGGGGCAAGCGUUGUUCGGAAUUACUGGGCGUAAAGGGCGCGUAGGCGGCACGGCAAGUCAGGAGUGAAAGCCCUGGGCUCAACCCGGGAACUGCUUUUGAAACUGCCGAGCUAGAGUGCGGAAGGGGCAACUGGAAUUCCCAGUGUAGCGGUGAAAUGACGUAGAUAUUGGGAAGAACACCUGAGGCGAAGGCGGGUUGCUGGGCCGACACUGACGCUGAGGCGCGAAAAGCCAGGGGAGCGAACGGG
rnacentral:rRNA from 1 species